AUAUCCAAUGAUUUGCAUUUUUGUUGUUGUUUGUAUGUUUUUUUUAAGUUAGUAAAUGGCUCAACUGAGACCAAAUUAAAGCUCAAUGACAUCUCUAUUUUAGUAAAUAUAUGCUGCAUAUAAUAUAAUAAGCCGCAUGUGCCAGCUGCGUUAUAUAUAUAGAUGUGGCAAUUGGUUUAGUCUGUUGUGUUAUCCAUUAACAUUUCAAUGGCUGAUUCAGAUCUUCAGGUAUACAGGGGAGCAUGAUGCAACACUAACUUGCUAGCUUAAGUUGGCUUAGUCAUCUCUACGCUUCUUGGCUAUAUUUAUUCACCUCACUUGGACUCACCUCCUCCACGAUGGGUUCAUCAUGUUGCACAUGGAUUGCAUCAGAAUUAAUUCAAGCUUUGUAAUGGUUCACAAAGAAGACUGAAUGAAUACGCUUUUUAUUUUGUGUAUGUCUUAUAAAAGACACCUCAGUGAUGGUUUAGUACAAUUUUUUUU